rnacentral:tRNA from 1 species
UGGCCGCCUGGAAGCGGAUGUUUCGGCUGGCUUACAAUACCAGGGUUGGCGAGGCGCAACUGGCCCGCUGCCGGUGUCGCCCGGCGCUGCCGA